rnacentral:lncRNA from 1 species
AUCAAAAUAAACAAAAUUGCUCCUAUAUGAAUGAAUGAUAUCAAUCAAUUAUUACUUAUCAUAUCAAAAUAAAAUUCUGCAAUAAUGAUUUGCUAACACAAAGAGCUACUAUCCCAAAAAAUAAUAAGAAAAGAGAAGAGAACGAAAACAGAAAAUUUUAAGCAAUAUGCUUCAACAACUGAUAUGCUAUAUUGGUAUUUAGCAAAACUCCUCAAAAGUAAAGCAGAAAAGAAGAUGAUUCCGAAGUAGAGGUAGUUGUGGAAGCAAAUCGAAGGAUCCUAAGACCGCCACUAAAGCUCAUGCUACGCUGCUGCCGUGGAAGGAGGCGAUCCGUCACCCUUGUCAGCACAGCCGUAUAUUCUCCCAAAAUCUCUGUCAUACUCGCCACCAUUAUCAUCCUUUGUUUCCCUCAGAGUCGAAUAUUCUUCAGGGUUUAUAUACGUAAGUGAAGUAGUUAUUGCGUGUCGACUUCUGCUAAGAGACUUAUGUCAUGUGUGUGUAUAAAUAUAUACAUCUACACACGAAUAAAUGACAGGAGGUUAGGCAAGGAGAAGGGAUUUGAAUUUUUGCUGGAAAGUAUAGGUGGAGAUUAGACACAAAUAAUUAGCAAAUUUU